rnacentral:rRNA from 1 species
UACGAAGGGGGCUAGCGUUGCUCGGAAUCAUUGGGCGUAAAGAGCUCGUAGGCGGUCUGUUACGUCGGCUGUGAAAACCUGGGGCUCAACUCCGGAUCUGCGGUGGGUACGGGCAGACUAGAGUGAUGUAGGGGAGACUGGAAUUCCUGGUGUAGCGGUGAAAUGCGCAGAUAUCAGGAGGAACACCGAUGGCGAAGGCAGGGUCUCUGGGCAUUAACUGACGCUGAGGAGCGAAAGCAUGGGGAGCGAACAGG